UCCCAUGGAUGAGCAAAGAAAGUGGUUUUCUGCGAUAGAAGCCACUCCUGGUGAAGAUGCUGUGAA
rnacentral:pre_miRNA from 1 species